GGCCAUACCACCCUGAAAUGUGUCCGAUCGUGGAAGCUAAGCAGGGUCGGGCCUGGCUGGCACUUGGUGGGCCCAGGUGAGCGCCGGGAGCC
rnacentral:rRNA from 1 species